rnacentral:rRNA from 1 species
CGACCGCUGGCGCCGUGCUUAACACAUGCACGUCGAACGGAAAGGCCCUGCUUUUGUGGGGUGCUCGAGUGGCGAACGGGUGAGUAACACGUGAGUAACCUGCCCUUGACUUUGGGAUAACUUCAGGAAACUGGGGCUAAUACCGGAUAGGAGCUCCUGCUGCAUGGUGGGGGUUGGAAAGUUUCGGCGGUUGGGGAUGGACUCGCGGCUUAUCAGCUUGUUGGUGGGGUAGUGGCUUACCAAGGCUUUGACGGGUAGCCGGCCUGAGAGGGUGACCGGCCACAUUGGGACUGAGAUACGGCCCAGACUCCUACGGGAGGCAGCAGUGGGGAAUAUUGCACAAUGGGCGGAAGCCUGAUGCAGCAACGCCGCGUGCGGGAUGACGGCCUUCGGGUUGUAAACCGCUUUCGCCUGUGACGAAGCGUGAGUGACGGUAAUGGGUAAAGAAGCACCGGCUAACUGCGUG